rnacentral:tRNA from 2 species
GGGCAGAUAGCUCAGUUGGUAGAGCACAGGACUGAAAAUCCUGGUGUCGGGGGUUCGAUUCCCCCUCUGCCCA